rnacentral:misc_RNA from 1 species
ACACAUUUUGAUAAUGAAUAUCAUAAAAAACAACCAUGAAUGUGUCUUCAUCUUGUGUAUUGUUGAUUUAUGCCAUGUUUGCAAGUGAAUUUAGAUAUUAUUAUUUUGGUUGAUUCCUUGUUAAUGUUUGUUCUUGUUGCUUUGUGUUAAAUUCCUGUUUUUAAGGAGCCAUACAAACGAUGACAAGCCUGAAGCUUCCGACAGAAGAAUUACUCAACGAGGCCUGGGAAACUCAGUUUUGUACAAUUUUCUAUUAUUGGUGAACGAAGUCGUCUCCGGGCAGCUGCGGUUCCCUCCAUCUUCCCACAUACAUCAUGCACCAGUACAUCAGCACUACCAACUCGACCAA